UGCCGCGAAGUGUACGACCUCC
rnacentral:miRNA from 1 species